rnacentral:rRNA from 1 species
AACGUAGGGGGCCAGCGUUGCUCGGAAUUACUGGGCGUAAAGGGUCCGUAGGCGGUGUGGCAAGUCGGAAGUGAAAUCUCUGGGCUUAACCCAGAGGCUGCUCCCGGAACUGCUGUGCUAGAGUGCGAGAGAGGCGAGUGGAAUUGCGGGUGUAGCGGUGAAAUGCGUAGAUAUCCGCAGGAACAUCCGAGGCGAAAGCGGCUCGCUGGAUCGCAACUGACGCUGAGGGACGAAAGCUAGGGGAGCAAACAGG